GCCUACGGCCAUACUACCCUGAGAACGCCCGAUCGCAUCUGAUCUCGGAAGCUAAGCCGGGUCGGGCCUGGUUAGUACUUGGAUGGGAGACCUCCUGGGAAUACCAGGUGCUGUGAGGU
ensembl:rRNA 5S_rRNA 5S ribosomal RNA